rnacentral:rRNA from 1 species
GGCGAACGGGUGAGUAAUGCGUGACCAACCUGCCCCAUGCUCCAGAAUAGCUCUUGGAAACGGGUGGUAAUGCUGGAUGCUCCAACUUGACGCAUGUCUUGUUGGGAAAGUGUUUAGUGGCAUGGGAUGGGGUCGCGUCCUAUCAGCUUGUAGGCGGGGUAAUGGCCCACCUAGGCUUCGACGGGUAGCCGGCCUUAGAGGGCGGACGGCCACAUUGGGACUGAGAUACGGCCCAGACUCCUACGGGAGGCAGCAGGG